rnacentral:rRNA from 1 species
CUACGUGCCAGCAGCCGCGGUAAUACGUAGGUCCCGAGCGUUAUCCGGAUUUAUUGGGCGUAAAGCGAGCGCAGGCGGUUAGAUAAGUCUGAAGUUAAAGGCUGUGGCUUAACCAUAGUACGCUUUGGAAACUGUUUAACUUGAGUGCAAGAGGGGAGAGUGGAAUUCCAUGUGUAGCGGUGAAAUGCGUAGAUAUAUGGAGGAACACCGGUGGCGAAAGCGGCUCUCUGGCUUGUAACUGACGCUGAGGCUCGAAAGCGUGGGGAGCAAACAGGAUUAGAUACCCUGGUAGUCCACGCCGUAAACGAUGAGUGCUAGGUGUUGGGUCCUUUCCGGGACUCAGUGCCGCAGCUAACGCAUUAAGCACUCCGCCUGGGGAGUACGACCGCAAGGUUAAAACUCAAAUGAAUUGACGGGGGCCCGCACAAGCGGUGGAGCAUGUGGUUUAAUUCGAUGCAACGCGAAGAACCUUACCUACUCUUGACAUCCAGAGAACAUUC